UCCCUAGUAGCGGCGAGCGAGCGGGAAGAGCUCAAAUUUAUAAUCUGGCACCUUCGGUGUCCGAGUUGUAAUCUCUAGAAGUGUUUUCCGCGUUGGACCGCACACAAGUCUGUUGGAAUACAGCGGCACAGUGGUGAUACCCCCGUACACGGUGCGGACGCCCAGCGCUUUGUGAUACACUUUCAAUGAGUCGAGUUGUUUGGGAAUGCAGCUCAAAUUGGGUGGUAAAUUCCAUCUAAAGCUAAAUAUUGGCGAGAGACCGAUAGCGAACAAGUACCGUGAGGGAAAGAUGAAAAGCACUUUGGAAAGAGAGUUAACAGUACGUGAAAUUGUUGGAAGGGAAACGCUUGAAGUCAGACUUGCUUGCCGGAGCUUGCUUCGGUUUGCAGGCCAGCAUCAGUUUUCCGGGGUGGAUAAUGGUGGUUUGAAGGUAGCAGCCUCGGCUGUGUUAUAGCUUUCCACUGGAUACAUCCUGGGGGACUGAGGAACGCAGCGUGCUUUUUGCGAAGGUUUCGACCUUUUCACGCUUAGGAUGCUGGUGUAAUGACUUUAAACGACCCGUCUUGAAACACGGACCA
rnacentral:rRNA from 1 species